UGAUGUCUUUCAAUCACCUCCAGAAGGCCCAUCACUCUACCUCCUCCAAAGGCUGUAACCUGAGAAAAGGAAGUUAGUACAAAGAGCAAAGGUUUGCAGAGAAACAAAGACAAAAUAAUGAUUUAGGAAAUGCAAAUAAGUCCUCAAUUUUUGCUUCCAUAUAAAUUCUUAUACAAAUUCUUAUGUUGCCAGAGGUGGACCACAAACCAGAAGAACAACCAAAAACCUAGUGUAACCGCACAAAGUGGGGUCUAAGGAGGGUAGAGUGUAAGCUGCCUUACCCUUACCAUGAGAAGGUAGAAAGAUUGUUUCCGAUAGACCCCCGUAUGAAAAGAAGCAGUUAGUACUAACAGCAAAGGUUUGCAGAGAAACAAAGACAAAAUAAUGAUUUAGGAAAUGCAAAUAAGUCCUCAAUUUUUGCUUCCAUAUAAAUUCUUAUACAAAUUCUUAUGUUGCCAGAGGUGGACCACAAACCAGAAGAACAACCAAAAACCUAGUGUAACCGCACAAAGUGGGGUCUAAGGAGGGUAGAGUGUAAGCUGCCUUACCCUUACCAUGAGAAGGUAGAAAGAUUGUUUCCGAUAGACCCCCGUAUGAAAAGAAGCAAUAAAACAGCAAGAUAAGAUGAUAAUAACCGAAGCGAAAGAAUGAAAAUGAAAAUACAAGACCAAUACUAAAGCUAUCUUAUGGAAAGGAGACACGCACGACUACCUACUAACCUUCUAACCUAAUCCUCGACCUCCACAACCUCCGAUCAAAGGUCAUGUUUUCAAUAAGCUGAGGUUGCGCCACAUCAUGCCUAAUCACAUUUACCCAAUACUUAUUAGCCUACCCCUAACUCUCCUCAGCCCACCAUGGCUAGCCUCUCAUACCUACUCACCGGGGCAUCUAUGUUGAAACCAAAAGUGAAUCACAAUAAAAUUUCAUUUAUUUUACUAUCAUCUUUACACAUUAAACUGACAAAAAGGCAUAACCUAUGAUUUAAAAAAGUCUUCAAUAAAAAGACAUUGUUCUCUUUUUAUUGAUUAGAGAAAGUUCCUUCCAUUUGUACGUCGAGGUGCUGACUAUUUACAUUGAGAGUUAAAAAGUGCAUGAACCCUGGUCUCCCAUAGAUCCUAGAGAGUUAAGAGUUCCAAGAAUGGAGUUGAUAUUUUACACAUCUUUGUUUUCUUUUUCUUUUAUUUUUAUAGAUAAGUGAAUCAAAUACAUCUGUCAUGUUGCAUGAUGAAGUUAAAACACACAAGCAUUUGAGUGUGUUUUGCUUCCCUUCUGUUAGCACAUAGUGUUCCUCUCCUUCCAAAAGAUCCACAAAAUGCAUCCGAGUUCUAUUUCAAAUAUUGCCAAAUUCUUUCAGUCCUCCAACCUGACCAGCUCAAAAGCGCUUCCUUCAGAGAUCUUGGUAUCAACCACUUGAUAUAAGAAAAGUUAACGUAACAUGCUCCAUAUUCCAUAAUGGUGUUGCACUUAUACACUGCAAAAAUAGACGGUUUCUUUUCCCAUAUCAUCUCCAAGGACAGUCACAGUGACUCAUUUCCUUGCAAUGCAUGAUAAAAUAAGGCUUCACUGAGAAUCACCCACAACUUUUUACUCCCAACAUCAAGGAUAUGAAGUUAUAUUCAGCUGUUAGUUCCUUGACCUCUUCGGUUCUUCCAAUUAACAGGAUGUUCUGUCAAUAUUUCACAAUCCUGCUGAUAUCUUCUAAACUCUAGCCUCCAACCCUGUUGGGUAUUAUAUUAUAAGCUAUGUGUUAACUGCACAGUUAAAAAAAAUCAGAAACUUCCUCUUAAAGUGAGAUUUGUAAUAUUAAUCUUCUUGUCAUGUUAAUACAUAAGAAAACAGGAAAAACUCCACAGAUGGCUCAAUAAAAAACAACAGAAACUGUAGAACAGUUCUGCUUGCUUAUGCAUAUGGCUAUCAUCAUGCCAAGUUUCCCUCCUCAGUCUAUUAACAUCAAUUGAACAACAUUCGGACAGAGAAGAUUUCUUUUAGUAAAUGAUGAAAGCAUAGCUUAGUGCUAUAAUACAAUAAAGAUGGCAAAUGUAAA
rnacentral:lncRNA from 1 species